UACGCUGGCGGCACGCCUAAACAUGCAAGUCGAACGAAGUAGCAAUACUUAGUGGCAGACGGGUGAGUAACAUGUGGGUAUCUACCCUUUGGCCUGGAAUAACACGAGGAAACUUGUGCUAAUACCGGAUAAGUCUUUACGGAGAAAGCUUUAUGCACCAUUGGAUGAGCCCGCACUUGAUUAGUUUGUUGGUAGGGUAAUGGCCUACCAAGACUAUGAUCAAUAGCUGAUUUGAGAGGAUGAUCAGCCACAUUGGGACUGAGACACGGCCCAAACUCCUACGGGAGGCAGCAGUGGGGAAUCUUGCACAAUGGAGGAAACUCUGAUGCAGCGAUGCCGCGUGAGUGAAGAAGGCCUUUGGGUUGUAAAGCUCUUUCGUCGGGGAAGAAAAUGACUGUACCCGAAUAAGAAGGUCCGGCUA
rnacentral:rRNA from 1 species